AUCGCUGCCUGUAGCUUUCUCUUUUGUGUUUGCUGUUUCCCCACCCAUGUCCCUGUUUAUCUGUGGAGUCAUAACACAGUGACAAGAAGAACAGCAAGAAUAACAUGUGGAAGGAAGUAAUCUGCAAAACAGGCGUCCCUGCCAGAGGAUGGAUCCACCCAGAAGCUGCCUGCAACACUGGGAGACCAGUUUGCCCAGCUGACCCGGUCUCCAUCAGCACUUUACACCCCUAUGCAGGCUGAUGCACAUCAAAAUCAAUUGAAAACAUCUCUGCUACCCCAUCUCUGGAAUUCAUUAUGUGAGCAUCCAAUUCUUUCUGCAAUAUGUGUUCUUAUCUUAGGACAAACAACAUUGGCCAU